rnacentral:rRNA from 1 species
AUGAAUUCCAAAACAGCAUUAUGUGGUGCUCUCCUGCUACUUGUGGCACUGCUGCCUCUUUCAGCUAGCGCGUCGAGCAAACUCUACAUCGUGUAUAUGGGGGAGAAGAAGCACGACGACCCAUCCCUGGUCAUCGCGUCGCACCAUGACAUACUAAUAUCUGUUUUUGAGAGUAAGGAUGAAGCCUUGAGGUCCAAAGUUUACAGUUACAAGCAUGGAUUUUCUGGCUUCGCAGCGAUGCUCACAAAGUCCCAAGCUGAGGCAAUCGCAAGAUUUCCCGAAGUUGUCACCGUGAAGCGUAACACUUUUCAUGAAACACACACAACUCGGAGCUGGGACUUCCUUGGCCUUCAACAUAACCAACCACCACAACAACCGGGACUCCUCAAACAAGCAAAGUACGGUGAAGAUGUCAUCGUUGGCGUGAUUGAUUCAGGCAUAUGGCCUGAAUCACGAAGCUUUGAUGACAAUGGGUAUGGCCCUGUGCCGGCACGGUGGAAAGGGAAAUGCCAGACUGGCCAGGAGUUCAACUCCACAAGUUGCAACCGAAAGAUCAUCGGCGCGCGAUGGUACGGUCGUGGCAUCAGUGCCGAGGUGCUAAAGAGAAACUACAACUCACCUAGGGACAUCCAUGGCCAUGGCACACAUGUUGCAUCGACUAUCGCUGGCAGGGAAGUGCAGCGUGUGAGCUACGGAGGCCUAGGCAUGGGGGUGGCACGUGGCGGGGCACCAUGUGCACGGCUCGGUAUCUACAAGGCAUGCUGGGUGGGUGGGGGUUGCCCUGACGCGGCGGUCCUUGCGGCCAUCGACGACGCCAUAUAUGAUGGCGUGGAUGUCUUGUCGCUAUCGAUUGCAGGGGUCGGUCAUGAGCUCCCCGGGACACUGCAUGCUGUGCAAAGAGGGAUAUCUGUUGUGUUCGGUGGUGGGAAUGAUGGCCCUGUGCCACAGACUAUAAGUAAUACCAUACCAUGGGUUACCACGGUGGCCGCUAGCACGAUUGACCGGUCUUUCCCAACCUUGAUAUCGCUGGGAAACAAAGAACAGCUGGUGGGGCAAUCUCUUCACUACAAUGCAUCUGUGAGCAGUGACUUUAAAGAACUUGUUUAUCCCGAAAGCUGUGACGCGAGGUCACUUGAAUUGAGCAAUGUCACUGGCAAAACCGUCCUGUGCUAUCAACCGGCGGCGGCGAAAAGCAUGCCGCCUCAACAAGCACUACCUAUGGUCAUCAAUCUCACCACCAUGGCUGGCGCCAAGGGCCUCAUAUUCGCAUAG